rnacentral:rRNA from 1 species
GACGAACGCUGGCGGCGUGCUUAACACAUGCAAGUCGAACGGAAAGGCCCUGCUUUUGUGGGGUGCUCGAGUGGCGAACGGGUGAGUAACACGUGAGUAACCUGCCCUUGACUUUGGGAUAACUUCAGGAAACUGGGGCUAAUACCGGAUAGGAGCUCCUGCUGCAUGGUGGGGGUUGGAAAGUUUCGGCGGUUGGGGAUGGACUCGCGGCUUAUCAGCUUGUUGGUGGGGUAGUGGCUUACCAAGGCUUUGACGGGUAGCCGGCCUGAGAGGGGGAACGGCCACAUUGGGACUGAGAUACGGCCCAGACUCCUACGGGAGGCAGCAGUGGGGAAUAUUGCAGAAUGGGCGGAAGCCUGAUGCAGCAACGCCGCGUGCGGGAUGACGGCCUUCGGGUUGUAAACCGCUUUCGCCGGUGACGAAGCGUGAGUGACGGUAAUGGGUAAAGAAGCACCGGCUAACUACGUG